AGUGAACGCUGGCGGUAGGCCUAACACAUGCAAGUCGAACGGCAGCACAGUAAGAGCUUGCUCUUACGGGUGGCGAGUGGCGGACGGGUGAGGAAUACAUCGGAAUCUACUUUUUCGUGGGGGAUAACGUAGGGAAACUUACGCUGAUACCGCAUACGACCUACGGGUGAAAGCAGUGGAUCUUCGGACCUUUCGCGAUUGAAUGAGCCGAUGUCGGAUUAGCUAGUUGGCGGGGUAAAGGCCCACCAAGGCGACGAUCCGUAGCUGGUCUGAGAGGAUGAUCAGCCACACUGGAACUGAGACACGGUCCAGACUCCUACGGGAGGCAGCAGUGGGGAAUAUUGGACAAUGGGCGCAAGCCUGACCCAGCAAUACCGCGUGGGUGAAGAAGGCCUUCGGGUUGUAAAGCCCUUUUGUUGGGAAAGAAAAGCAGCAGGUUAAUACACCGAUGUUCUGACGGUACCCAAAGAAUAAGCACCGGCUAACUUCGUG
rnacentral:rRNA from 1 species